rnacentral:snRNA from 1 species
GUGCUCACCUUGGUAGAACAUAUACUAAAAUUGGAACGAUACAGAGAAGAUUAGCAUGGCCCCUGCGCAAGGAUGACACACGCAAAUUCGUGAAGUCUUCCAUUAAA